UCUCCAUACUUUCUUUUUUAGGAUGAGCUCAUCCAUCCAUUUUUUCAUCAAGAAGUAAAAAUUUCAGUAGAUCAUCAAUUUGAAGAUACUCUCAUUAUAGUCAUGGCAUCACUUACAUUGUUCAAGAUCCAAGCAAUGCUAAGGAAUUACAUAAAUAAGGAACACUACUAUGCCAAAUGAAGUUGCCUCCAGCCAGCAGCUGCAUCUCAGGAUCAGAUUGCCUGUAUACAGCAGCACAACCCUUCUCCAUGACUGUAAGUCAUCUGGGCCACUUCUAUCAGCUCCCCAGUGUCUGAUCAAGGGCUGUCUCUGGAACAAAGGACAUGCAGGGAAAGAUGUUUGGGUGUGCUUCUCUGAUCUAUGCGUGUGCAUGGUCGGGUGACCUUGAGAAAUCGUACCUAUUCUUCAGUACCAGCAUUGCAUCUUGAAGCAAGACAUAU
rnacentral:lncRNA from 1 species